rnacentral:rRNA from 1 species
CAUUACAAAUCUCGAGUUGGUUCCUCCCGCUAGGGGGGGGCUGGCACAUUAGCACAAGGCCGCGAGGCCUUGAUGUUUACGCUUGUAAGUUUGACAGAGUUUAAAUUGUGACCUUAAAAAUGACAACUUUUAACAACGGAUCUCUUGGCUCUUGCAACGAUGAAGAGCGCAGUAAAGUGCGAUAUGUAGUGCGAUUUGCAUGAAUCUGUGAGUCAUCUAAUCUUUGAACGCAACUUGCGCCUCUCUGAGGCAUGUCUGUUUGAGUGCCGCAUACUCUAUGCAGCAAUGCGAUUUGGUCCGUGUCUGCGCACUGCUACCACUAGCUGGUGGGUGGUGGGUGGACUGGGUCUAAAUGUAGCCAGAUAAUGGUCUGUGAGACUAGCCCGAGUGCUAAGCAUUCUUGGGCCUAGGCUCCACUUGCCACAAUCUAUCUAUCUAUUUGGCCUCAAAUCAGGC